CCUACGGGAGGCAGCAGUGAGGAAUAUUGGUCAAUGACGAGAGUCCGAACCAGCCAAGUAGCGUGAAGGAUGACUGCCCCAUGGGGUGUAAACUUUCUUUUUAUGGGAAUAAAAUGUUUCACGUGUGGGAUUUUGUAUGUACCAUAUGAAUAAGGAUCGGCCAACUCCGUGCCAGCAGCCGCGGUAAUACGGAGGAACCGAGCGUUAUCCGGAUUUAUUGGGGUUAAAGGGGGCGUAGGUGGAUUGUUAAGUCAGUUGUGAAAAUUUGCGGGUCAACCGUAAAAUUGCAGUUGAAACUGGCAGUCUUGAGUACAGUAGAGGUGGGCGGAAUUCGUGGUGUAGCGGUGAAAUGCUUAGAUAUCACGAAGAACUCCGAUUGCGAAGGCAGUUCACUGGACUGCAACUGACACUGAGGCUCGAAAGUGUGGGUAUCAAACAGGAUUAGAUACCCUAGUAGUC
rnacentral:rRNA from 1 species